rnacentral:rRNA from 1 species
UAGGGAAUCUUCGGCAAUGGACGGAAGUCUGACCGAGCAACGCCGCGCGAGUGAAGAAGGUUUUCGGAUCGUAAAGCUCUGUUGUUAGAGAAGAACGUUGGUAGGAGUGGAAAAUCUACCAAGUGACGGUAACUAACCAGAAAGGGACGGCUAACUACGUGCCAGCAGCCGCGGUAAUACGUAGGUCCCGAGCGUUGUCCGGAUUUAUUGGGCGUAAAGCGAGCGCAGGCGGUUCUUUAAGUCUGAAGUUAAAGGCAGUGGCUUAACCAUUGUACGCUUUGGAAACUGGAGGACUUGAGUGCAGAAGGGGAGGGUGGAAUUCCAUGUGUAGCGGUGAAAUGCGUAGAUAUAUGGAGGAACGCCGGUGGCGAAAGCGGCUCUCUGGUCUGUAACUGACGCUGAGGCUCGAAAGCGUGGGGAGCAAACAGG